rnacentral:sRNA from 82 species
AUAUCUCUCUGUACGGGAAGGAUGAGAAGCUUCGACUAAGGUUCGAUUCGAGCGAAAGCGAGAAAGCGUUGCCGCAGGCAACGACCCGAAGGGCGAAGCGCGCAGCGCUGAGUAAUCCUUCCCCCACCACCA